CAAUAGCGUAUAUUAAAGUUGUUGCGGUUAAAAAGCUCGUAGUUGGAUCUCGGCGACCAGGGGCGACUCGGUGUUUGCCGUUGCUGCCCCAUUUGGUCGCGUUUUGACGGAGGCUCCAGGGUGCCCUUAACCAGGUGUUCUGUUGCGCCGUCAGGUUUUACUUUGAAAAAAUUAGAGUGCUCAAAAGCAGGCUUUACACGCUUGAAUAUUCGUGCAUGGAAUAAUGGAAUAGGAAGUCGUUUCUAUUUUGUUGGUUUUCGGAAAUUGACUUAAUGAUUAAUAGGGACAGCCGGGGGCAUUAGUAUUCAGACGACAGAGGUGAAAUUCUUGGACCGUCUGAAGACUAACUACUGCGAAAGCAUUUGCCAAGAGUGUUUUCAUUAAUCAAGAACGAAAGUUAGAGGUUCGAAGACGAUCAGAU
rnacentral:rRNA from 1 species